CACGUCAGAGAGACGCUGUGACCAGUGGGUUUCCCUUUCUCAUCCUAUGCCUGGGAAUAUUGAUAAGGCAGGGAGGAUAAAGGAUCACUCAACUGUCGAAUUCACUCCCUCCUCACCU
rnacentral:pre_miRNA from 17 species